UGCAGUCGAACGAGAAAGUGGAGCAAUCCAUGAGUACAGUGGCGACCGGGUGAGUAACACGUGACUAACCUACCUUCAAGUGGGGGAUAACAUCGGGAAACCGAUGCUAAUACCGCAUAACAUCGGCGCUUCUCAAGAAGUGACGAUCAAAGCAGCAAUGCGCUGGAAGAGGGGGUCGCGGCUGAUUAGCUAGUUGGCGGGGUAACGGCCCACCAAGGCGAAGAUCGGUAUCCGGCCUGAGAGGGCGCACGGACACACUGGAACUGAAACACGGUCCAGACUCCUACGGGAGGCAGCAGUGGGGAAUUUUGCGCAAUGGGGGAAACCCUGACGCAGCAACGCCGCGUGGAGGAUGAAGCCCCUUGGGGUGUAAACUCCUUUCGACCAAGACGAUAAUGACGGUACUGGUGGAAGAAGCACCGGCUAACUCUGUGCCAGCAGCCGCGGUAAUACAGAGGGUGCGAGCGUUGUUCGGAAUUAUUGGGCGUAAAGGGCGCGUAGGCGGCGCGGUAAGUCACCUGUGAAAUCUCUGGGCUUAACUCAGAGCCUGCAGGCGAAACUGCCGUGCUGGAGUAUGGGAGAGGUGCGUGGAAUUCCCGGUGUAGCGGUGAAAUGCGUAGAUAUCGGGAGGAACACCUGUGGCGAAAGCGGCGCACUGGACCAUAACUGACGCUGAGGCGCGAAAGCUAGGGGAGCAAACAGGAUUAGAUACCCUGGUAGUCCUAGCCCUAAACGAUGAUUGCUUGGUGUAGCAGUACCCAAUCCUGCUGUGCCGCAGCUAACGCGAUAAGCAAUCCGCCUGGGGAGUACGGUCGCAAGGCUGAAACUCAAAGAAUUGACGGGGGCCCGCACAAGCGGUGGAGCAUGUGGUUCAAUUCGACGCAACGCGAAGAA
rnacentral:rRNA from 1 species